rnacentral:tRNA from 1 species
GCGAGCAUAGUUUAGUGGUAAAACUUCUGCCUUCCAAGCAGGUAUCGUCGGUUCGAUUCCGUCUGCUCGCACCA